rfam:Beta vulgaris subsp. vulgaris chromosome 8, whole genome shotgun sequence.
AGCCAUGUAGUGAGCACAGAGCGAACUAUUCUUUCGCCUCUUACUAAAGAAUACCGUGUGCUCGCUGCAUCUAGUGGCAUACGUUUAUUUUUGGAGGGAGUUCUUAUAGGACUUCC